CCUGCCCAGCUCCCUCGUUAGGUCUAGGCAUUUUAAUCAAAUUAUCUGCUUCCCUGACUAUUCCUGGACUACAGCCACACCUCAUUGUUGCCCUUCUUCCCAACCCAAAGCCUCCUUCAAUUAUCUGCUUCCCUGACUAUUCCUGGACUACAGCCACACCUCAUUGUUGCCCUUCUUCCCAACCCAAAGCCUCCUUCGUGUCUUCCUCUCAUAUCCCCCCACCUUAACCCACAAGUAUG
rnacentral:lncRNA from 1 species